rnacentral:rRNA from 1 species
GGUUUACCUGUGUGACUGCGUACCUUUUGUAUAAUGGGUCAGCGACUUAUAUUCUGUAGCAAGGUUAACCGUAUAGGGGAGCCGUAGGGAAACCGAGUCUUAAUUGGGCGUUAAGUUGCAGGGUAUAGACCCGAAACCCGGUGAUCUAGCCAUGGGCAGGUUGAAGGUUGGGUAACACUAACUGGAGGACCGAACCGACUAAUGUUGAAAAAUUAGCGGAUGACCUGUGGCUGGGGGUGAAAGGCCAAUCAAACCGGGAGAUAGCUGGUUCUCCCCGAAAGCUAUUUAGGUAGCGCCUCGUGAAUUCAUCUCCGGGGGUAGAGCACUGUUUCGGCUAGGGGGCCAUCCCGGCUUACCAACCCGAUGCAAACUGCGAAUACCGGAGAAUGUUAUCACGGGAGACACACGGCGGGUGCUAACGUCCGUCGUGAAGAGGGAAACAACCCAGACCGCCAGCUAAGGUCCCAAAGUCAUGGUUAAGUGGGAAACGAUGUGGGAAGGCCCAGACAGCCAGGAUGUUGGCUUAGAAGCAGCCAUCAUUUAAAGAAAGCGUAAUAGCUCACUGGUCGAGUCGGCCUGCGCGGAAGAUGUAACGGGGCUAAACCAU